rnacentral:rRNA from 1 species
AGUGAACGCUGGCGGUAGGCCUAACACAUGCAAGUCGAACGGCAGCACAGUAAGAGCUUGCUCUUACGGGUGGCGAGUGGCGGACGGUGAGGAAUACAUCGGAAUCUACUUUUUCGUGGGGGAUAACGUAGGGAAACUUACGCUAAUACCGCAUACGACCUACGGGUGAAAGCAGGGGAUCUUCGGACCUUGCGCGAUUGAAUGAGCCGAUGUCGGAUUAGCUAGUUGGCGGGGUAAAGGCCCACCAAGGCGACGAUCCGUAGCUGGUCUGAGAGGAUGAUCAGCCGCACUGGAACUGAGACACGGUCCAGACUCCUACGGGAGGCAGCAGUGGGGAAUAUUGGACAAAGGGCGCAAGCCUGAUCCAGCCAUACCGCGUGGGUGAAGAAGGCCUUCGGGUUGUAAAGCCCUUUUGUUGGGAAAGAAAAGCAGCAGGUUAAUACCCCGCUGUUCUGACGGUACCCAAAGAAUAAGCACCGGCUAACUUCGUG